rnacentral:rRNA from 1 species
UACGUAGGUGGCAAGCGUUAUCCGGAAUUAUUGGGCGUAAAGCGCGCGUAGGCGGUUUUUUAAGUCUGAUGUGAAAGCCCACGGCUCAACCGUGGAGGGUCAUUGGAAACUGGAAAACUUGAGUGCAGAAGAGGAAAGUGGAAUUCCAUGUGUAGCGGUGAAAUGCGCAGAGAUAUGGAGGAACACCAGUGGCGAAGGCGACUUUCNUGGUCUGUAACUGACGCUGAUGUGCGAAAGCGUGGGGAUCAAACAGGAUUAGA